rnacentral:rRNA from 1 species
UACAGAGGAUGCAAGCGUUAUCCGGAAUGAUUGGGCGUAAAGCGUCCGUAGGUGGCUUUUUGAGUCCGUCGUCAAAUCCCAGGGCUCAACCCUGGACAGGCGGUGGAAACUACCAAGCUGGAGUACGGUAGGGGCAGAGGGAAUUUCCGGUGGAGCGGUGAAAUGCAUUGAGAUCGGAAAGAACACCAACAGCGAAAGCACUCUGCUGGGCCGACACUGACACUGAGAGACGAAAGCUAGGGGAGCAAAUGGG